rnacentral:lncRNA from 1 species
ACACAUUGCAGGACCUGCCUACCAGCCUGCUCACCUGUGCAGGCCACUUGCCCUCCUUGCCAGCACCAUGCUCAGGACAGGGCUGAUCUUCUUUGCCUUGUGUGACCUGGUUGGGACUUUUCCAGUUUUACCUCCAGAAUUAACCGCUGACAUACCAGAAUGGAUCUCUGAUCUAGAGCUGACCACUGGCGCAGACUUAACCACAGACCUAGCGGCAGUCACAGAUGGAGUCUCCACCACGGAGCUGGACCCGACUGGGGACACAGAGUCCACCACAGCUGAGUAUCCGGAGAGCACACAGUCUGUCGAAUCUGCUACUUUCGAGGAGUCAGCCACCUCCAGCCUUGUGGGAGAAGCUACUGAGACCACAGGUAGAAGUUCUGUCUUCAGACAGCAGCGUGUUCUCCUCCUCCUUGCUAUGUCUCACAGCUCAGGAUGCUCUGUGGUUUGGGGAUAG